rnacentral:rRNA from 1 species
CGACCACCGAGAUCUACACUCUUUCCCUACACGACGCUCUUCCGAUCUGUUCUGUUGUAGGUUGAAGUAUUAGCGGAAGCGGGUAUGGACGAAGCAGAAGUGAGAAUGUCGGCUUGAGUAACGAAAAUAUAGGUGAGAAUCCUAUACCCCGAAAACCCAAGGUUUCCUCCGGAAGGCUCGUCCGCGGAGGGUAAGUCAGGACCUAAGGCGAGGCUGAAAAGCGUAGUCGAUGGAUAACGGGCUAAUAUUCCCGUACCAUUAUUUGUUGAUAUCGAGGGACGGAGAAGGCUAAGCUGGCCGGAUUUUGGUUACCGGUUUAAACGUUCGAGAUGAUGAGAAACGGCGAAAACGUUUUGAGUUGAGGCGUGAAUACGAGAUACUACGGUGUCGAAGCAGUCUAUGUCAUACUUCCAAGAAAAGCUUGCACUGUCAUAAACAAAUAAUGCCUGUACCAUAACCGACACAGGUGGGUAGGUAGAGUAUACUAAGGGGCGCGAGAUAACUCUCUCUAAGGAACUCGGCAAAAUGACUCCGUAACUUCGGGAGAAGGAGUGCCUUAUUUAUAAGGUUGCAAUAACAAGAUCCAAGCAACUGUUUACCAAAAACACAGGUCUCCGCUAAGUCGUAAGACGAUGUAUGGGGGCUGACGCCUGCCCAGUGCCAGAAGGUUAAAGAAGUUGGUUAGCGCAAGCGAAGCUGGUAACUGAAGCCCUGGUGAACGGCGGCCGUAACUAUAACGGUCCUAAGGUAGCGAAAUUCCUUGUCGGGUAAGUUCCGACCCGCACGAAAGGCGUAAUGAUUUGGAUACUGUCUCGGAGAGGGACUCGGUGAAAUAGACUUGUCUGUGAAGAUGCGGACUACUUGCACCAGGACAGAAAGACCCUAUGAAGCUUUACUGUAACCUGAAAUUGAAAUUGGACUUUACUUGCGCAGGAUAGGUGGGAGGCUUUGAGAGUAUUCUUGCGGGAAUACUGGAGCCAUCAGUGAGAUACCACUCUGGUAAUGUUAGAUUUCUAACUUUGUAUCAUUAUCUGGUCAAAGAACAGUUUCAGGCGGGCAGUUUGACUGGGGCGGUCGCCUCCUAAACGGUAACGGAGGCGCACAAAGGUUUCCUCUGAACGGGUAGAAAUCGUAUCUAGAGUGUAAAGGCAUAAGGAAGCUUGACUGUGAGACCUACAAGUCGAGCAGGGACGAAAGUCGGUCUUAGUGAUCUGACGGUGCUGAGUGGAAAGGCCGUCACUCAACGGAUAAAAGUUACUCUA